rnacentral:lncRNA from 1 species
UCACUCCAUUCUCCUUUAUUUACUUGAUUUCUGAUGAUAAGUUUGUUGUAUUUAUUAUCUUUGCUCCUCCAUGAGAUAUUCCCCCACAUUCCUAGCUUUUCAAGAAUUUUGUCUUUCCAGUACUUUGAAUAUGGUAUGCAUGGGUGUAGUUUUUUGGUUUUUAUUCUGCUUGGUAUUCUUUGAUUUUCUUGGGUUUAUGGUUUAGUAUCUACCAUUAAUCUGUAAAAUUAUUGGCCAUUAUUUCUGCAAAUAUUUUUCUGUCUCCAUUCUCUUUCCUCUCUUUUUGGUAUUCCAGUUACACUUAUGUCACACAUUUUAAAAAUUGUCCCUCAGUUCUUGGAUCUUCUGUUUUGUUUUUCUCAUUCUUUUCCCUUUCAAUUUCAGUUUGGGAAGAUUCUAUUGGCAUAUUUUCAUGCUCACUAAUUCUUUUCUCAGCCAUGUCAAGCCUAUUGAUGCCCACAGGAAGACAUUCUUUAUUUCUGUGAUGGUGUUUGUUUCCAGAAUUUUCUUUGGAUUCUUUCUUAGGGUUUCUGUCUCUCUACUUGCAUUACCUAUUUAUUCUGGCAUACUUUCCCAUUUGAACCCUUUGCAUAUUAAUCUUAGUUAUUUUAAAUCCCAUCUGAUAAUUUCAACAUCUAUGUAUCUGAAUUUGAUUCUAAUGAUCAUUUUGUCUCUUCAAAUGGCUUGUAUUUUGCCUUUAGUAUACCUUGUAAUUAUUUUUUUAGUUUUACAAUUUUUUAAUUUUUAUUUUAUUUCUUAUAUAUGACAACAGAAUGCAUUACAAUUCAUAUUACACAUAUAGAGCACAUUUUUCAUAUUUCUGGUUGUAUACAAAGAAGAGUCACACCAUUGUGUCUUCAUACAUAUACUUAAGGUAAUGAUGUCCAUCUCAUUCCACCGUCUUUCCUAUUCCCAUACCUCCCUUUUGCCCUAUCAGAGUUCAUCUGAUCUUCCCAAGCACCCUGCCCCAAC